GACGACUUUUCGUGGAAUGGAAAUGGUGGCAUUGAUGGAGUCGCCACUACGCUCCCACCCAACCUGUGGUGCCUCCGGUGUGUCUUGGGGCACCACCCAUCUCCGGCGGACCGGAGUCUAAUCCAGGCGGCCUGACGGCCGGCCCAUUUCCCCAGGCAUGAGUGAGUUCCAAUGGGACUCAUUCCCGGCGAAACGUUACCCUAGACCGGGAUGCGUACGCGCCUAGACUGCGGCAGCGGAGAAGAAACGGCGGUCCGCUAGAGAAAAUAGCCACAUCCCCUUUUUUCCUGCUGGAGCUCCAAAAGAAAUAAUGGGGACGGGUAAGUAUGCUUUCAUCAAAAUCCAACUUCUUCUACGCAGACUCCUUAAUUGUGCAGAGCUUGUGUUGCACAAAUCCCUGGCGCAAGUUAGGAGACGCGGAGAACAAGAACAUUGUAACAAUACGACAACUACAAGGCAGGAUAGGCGGCUGGCGAUGAGGCUUCGCUAGCAUGCGCGGCCAGGAAUGGCAGCAACUGAUGGUGGCAGCGAGCCCGAUGAAAA